AACGCAUAUUGCGCCCGAGGCUUCGGCCAAGGGCAUGUCUGCCUCAGCGUCGGGUAAUACUCACCCAACCAAUCCCUGGUUGAGUGGAUCUGGCUUUCCCAGGCCUCGUGUCUGGGUUUGCUGAAGCAUAGAGGUUGAUGCAUGGACCCGCUAAGGGCUGCAACUGGGUAGGCAAUCUAUUUGCUAAUGCUUUAGUUGUUGGCUUGGGACUGUGCUGGUCGACCCGAAAUCAGGAAGAGCUUCGGCUCUAAACCCAUUUUCUCGACCUGAGCUCAGGCAAGAACACCCGCUGAACUUAA
rnacentral:misc_RNA from 1 species